ACCAGCGUGGCGUAGUGGUUUGAGUGUUGGAUUACAACUCUGGGGACCAGAGUUCGAUUCCUGUCUUGGCC